rnacentral:lncRNA from 1 species
GAAAAUUCAAUUUAAAUCCUUUCCUUUCUUGAACAGCCAGCCAUUUCUCUCUCUCGUUCUCCUAGUUUUUCUGUACGCACAACUUCAGACCCUGAAGGCCCCAAAAGAAGGUAAACGUUAAACGAAGAGGAAAACCCAUAAAUUAAUUAAUUAGGGUUCUUCUCCUCCUCUUCUUCUUCUUCUUUGUGCUCUGGUGCUCUGGUGCUCUGGUGCUCUGGUGCUCUAGUGCUCUAGGCAUGUUGUUGUGAACUAUUGACCUAUUUCGGUUGGUGGGUUUUUCCGGGUUUUGUUCACAUAGAUCUGGGGGCCAUUAAAUGUUUAAAAUUUAUAGAAGAAACCCAGAAAAUAUUUUGUAGUUUUUGAGUGUAUGAACAUAAUAAUAUAUGUGAAAAGUGGUUGGUUUGAAUUUUUUUGAAGGGAGAUGGUGAAAAUGAUGAGGGAGAAGAUCAAGAUCAAGAAGAUUGACUACCUGCCAGCAAGGCAGGUGACCUUCUCAAAGAGGAGAAGAGGGAUCUUCAAGAAAGCUGCAGAGCUAUCUGUUCUGUGUGAAUCUGAGGUGGCAGUUGUCAUCUUUUCUGCUACUGGCAAGCUUUUUGAUUAUUCAAGCUCAAGGUACCAGCAACACCCACCCCUAUACCUUAUAAUUCUUUUGACUUUUCCUUCCUUGAAAAAAUAACCAAUAUGUAUGAUCAUGGUGUCUCUGAAGUCUGAUGACUUGACUUCUCUCUAUGUGGGAGAGGGAGAGGGAGAGAUUCUGAGAUUCAGUCAUUUGGGUAGAAAUAUAUUUAGAGGAGAGGGAGGGUGCCUUUCUGGAAAUUCCCUGUCCUUCCUGAAAUUCCGUGGUUUGAACUGAGCUCACAGACAUUAUUUAUUGUGUCUAAACUUCCGAAAGAAAAAAAGGAGAAUCCAGAAGCUUAGAGAGAGAGAGAGAGAGAGUCAGUCUUGUAGAUGAUACUUUUAGAUAUUACUUUUUUGGGGUCGAUUUUUACUUUUAGAUAUACUCUGUCUCAAAGGCAACUAGUUCGAGGGUUACUACCUUGUAUAUAUACCACUCCAAGAAAAUAGUCUAUUUUUGAUAAAGAAAACUUCUAGUUAGGUGUCCCAGUUUGAGAAACAUUAUUUUUUUAGUUUUCCAUGUUUUUCAUGCAAGAUGUGGUGUAUAUAUGGUGAUGUUCUUUUUUACGUGCAAUCAAUUUUGUUUACCAUAUGCUAAACUCUGUAUAUCUUGUUCGGUAACUGGUUUUCAUAUAUACUCGCAUAGUUUAGUAUGUUGCUGCUUCAAUAUCAUGUCCCACCUAACACAUAUUGGUAAUAGAUAAUAUAUGAAAUCUUAGGUCGCGCUUAUACAGUGAAGAAUAUCCCUGUCCAAGGAGCUAAAAUUAAUGGUUCCCUUAUGAGAGAUACGGUAUGUUAGAUCAUCAGUCGAAUCAUACACUCAAACAACAAUACAGAUCACCAAUUUUAGAUUCAUAGUCUGACCACAUAAAAUGAUAAAUUUGCUAAUAAAAUAGCAUUUUACUCUUUACCAUAUAUAUACAUCUAUUUGUAUAUAUAUUAUCCUUUGAACUUAAGAUAGUGGCGGGUUGUGUUUGAAAAGGUGUCAAUUCAUUUUCCCCACCUAAACUACAAAAUGCCAGUUUGGCCAAGGGGAAAGUAGCACCCAACUCCUUAUAAGCUUUCGUUAGGUUUCUCAACUUCCAAAAAUUAUUGUGGGACAUUUCUUCACAUUCUCACACGCCCCCUCACGUGUGGCGACAUUUCAAGCCUAACACGUGGACAUCACAUUAGGUGACGUAGAGCAAGUGUGGACAUUGGGCUUCACACGUGAACAAACCCGCUAUGAUACCAUAAAGGAAGUUGAGGUUUCACCCCAAAAUCAAUUGGCCAAUAGGAGGAGUAACCCAACUCCUUAUAAGGCCGUGCUAAGUUUCUCUAACUUUCCAAUGUGGGACAUUUCUUCACAUUCUCACAGUUACAUUGAAUUAUGUGAUUUGUAGUUUUCUUACUAGGAAUAAAGUGAUAUGAUGAUAACUUGGGAAUUCAUCAUAGAAGCCUUGAAGACUUUCAGCAGGAAUAUGCAUGCAUGCUUUCCAAUAAGGCAAUGGGUGGUGGAGCCAUGACCAUUACAUGUUUUUGCCAUGAUUGCAUGAAAGAUUUUGUUAAAACCUAGUUUCAUACUUAGAUGUGCAUGCAUGAGAGGGAGGGUGAGAAUGAAAUGUUAACUAUGGAAUACGAAUUUAAAUAAGGUCAUGUGCUUCCUUUCAGUUAACAAAAAUAAUUGCACAUUGUAAGCGCUGGUCAUUUAUAUUUAAUUAAAAAAAACCUAGAAAUACUACCUCUAAGGUGGUCUUCUUUAACCCAAAAUACACUCCAUAUAUAAAAAGAAUACUCUUAUAUGGCGAUGGUUUUUUUUAUAAAAAUAUUCUGUAUUGUGUGCACGAAUUAACAAUUUUUUUUUUUAAUUUAAAAAAAGUUAUCAUCUAAAAGCUACAUCUAUUUGCGUUGGUUAUUAUCGAACAACAUUAAAAGACAGAGAAAUCAAAACUGUAAGUAACAAACACGUACUAAUGGAGGUCUUUAAUUCUUUAUGUCAGAGUGCAAUUUCUAAUCAAUUUCCGUUGUAAAUUUAAUUUAAAUGUUAAUUUUCUAGGUUUCUGGGCCUAAUUUGUCUACUUUUUUUAUUUUUUCUAUUUUUAAAAGUUUUUCUAAUUGUAUUUCUAUUAAAGCUCUCGAUAUUGCAUUCCAUGUUUCCAUUUGUGCAUGUGUACUUGCAACCAAUGCAUAAGCCAUAAAACGAUCUUGCAUUGAAACUAAAGAAGAUUUUGCUUUGCAUUAUUUUUCAAACUUUUCCAAGUUUCCAAGUAGAGCAAUGUGUCAAACGUUUCCAAGUAAAGGUUCCAUGAGACUCAUCCAUUCUUAAUGCACGGGGCAGAGGUUGAAGUCUAAAACCUAUACAUGACCUAGCCCGAAGCGGAUAGCUUUUCUUAAGGUUUUUAAGGGUUUAGUAAUGAUUCAUCUUUGCAUGGUAGCCUACCAAACCUAACAAUAUAUUCAAAGCAUAUUAGUCGACUUGAUGGUCUCAGAGUUGACGUCAGAGGAACUGUGACUAAGAUUUUUGAGGCCCACUUCUUAUCAGUUGACUUGAUACGUGGGUUUGCUUUGCUUUGUGUUCGAAAAUAUCUCAGCUGCUAUUGAAGGAAUUUGACUUGACGUUUUCAUUUGCGAUAUGUGAUUUGUGUGUUUUAAAGCCAAGCUGAUAUUUUUUUUAUUUUUUAUUUUUUUGGUUUGGGGGGAGGGGGUUCUUAGCUUAUUGCAUGCAUGUGUAGUUUGGUUACUGUUGAUAUUACUUUUUGUAAUAAAUUCUAAUGAAAUAGGUAAUAUAUUCUUUGUACUUGGUUUCUCUUGAGAUGAUUAGUCCCUUUCUUGGGUCUGCAAUAUAUAAUUGGAGGAAAUCAAAUUUUGGGUCUGCAGAAAAUUGGAAAUCAAAGUUUGCAUUAUAAUUGAAACUGAAAUUUCUCUGAUAUCUGGUUAUGUUAGUUAUAGAAACCAAAGUCAGAAAAUAAUUCAAUCAAAAGCCAUGCACACAUAUCAUACAAUGAUAUCAUUUAUUAGUCUUAUACAAAAAAAAUAAAAAUAAAUAAACAUGAGUGUAUCUCUGUGUUUGCAAACCAGAAGUUUGAAUAAUGGGGGUUAAAUUCUUUUCCAUGUUUUUGUUUCUCAUGUAUGCUUAGUCACGUUAAUUUUUCUGUCUAAUAAUUUACUAGUGAACAUGCCAAUUGAUUGUUUUUUUUAAUCCUUUUCUGUUGUGAAGUAUCAAGGAUGUUAUUGAAAGGUACGAAGUGCGCACAAAUGGUGUCGAAAAAUCGGAUGAACAGUCUCUUGAGCUGCAGGUAAAUGAGUUCAAUGAUUUUCCCUUUCCCCCUUUUAAUUGUUCUGCAAUUAAUUGUAACAUACUCUGUGAUCUGCACUUUGGAGCUUCAAAAUGUAUCUCUAUAGCAUCCGACGGUUCUGAUUGUUUGAACAUAGAUAAAAAAAGCAUUGUCAGACUCAUGUAUAUGCAUGCAGCAGGGUCGGCCUCUUGGGCUAAAUAUAUAUAGGUGGCUUUGAUAAGUCCCAACUCUAGUGGGACUUCAUCUGGUGUACAUAAAGAAUUAGCCAAUGAAAAAUUGGAACAUAGAAUCAUCAUCAAAUAUCAAUUAUUAUUUACUUUUACCGUUGGUUGUUUUCCAAGCGUUCCUUUUUUUCAUUUUUAAUUAUGCUAAAGGUAGAGUGUGAAGUAUUGUAACCAUUUGAGUUACAAAUUCAUUGUUUUUCAAACUUUAGUUUUAGGGGCAUGCAGCUGAUUUAAUUUCUUAUGAUAGUUGAGUUGGAGACUUCUAUUGAAUCGAUAUUACAGCCUCCUAGAGUAUCAGUUUUUUCUCCCUAAUUUUAAUAACUUAUUGGUUUAGAAAAAAGAAAAGGAACGAUUUUACUUUUUUGUUUUGAAAUGAGUGAUUUUCUGUCCAAAAUGUAGUACGAUUUUACUAUUAUGUUUUGACAAUAUUGAUUAGGGGUGGGAGGCCAUAGGCUUAAGUACAUCAGUUAAAGGUAACCAAUAACCGUAGCUCUCACGCAGCUGAAAACAGAGACCAACCGCACUCGCAUCUAGGCUCUCACACCGCAAUCACAUUAAGGGGAGGAGCUCCACCCCCCUUCUAACGUCCUCGUUGGCCCACUCUAUCUACACUGACUCGGUGGUAGCCUUUUACUUUCUUUGAGGCGGCUUCACUCAACUAUCAGUAUUCAGUGAUCAAUAUCAUGCCCAUACAUAACACCGAUCAUCUUAAUCCAAUGUAUAGGUCACCCCUUUUGUGGAAUUGGGCCCAGUUGCGUGGUGAACUCAGGCUUUGAUACCAAAUGUUAAGAACUCAUGGGUAGAAUUUGCCCUUAAAAACCGGCUUGUAAGGAAAGGAUGCCCUUGAACUCUUAAACCAUUCUAUAGGAUAUGCUCUUUUUCCAAUGUGGGAUCUUGAGUCCUAACAGACGGCUAAUCUUUGCCCCCCUCUAUUUUAAGCCCCUAUGUCUCUCAUCUCCUCUAAUUUCCCUUCUCCUCCUCUCAUCCCCUCACCCACACACCAGUUCCUUUCUCUCCCCCUUCCAUGAGAUUUGAAACCCUAAAAUCCUCCUCUCCCCUUACGAUUUUCUUAGUCUAUUGGCUUGUUGCAGCUGCUUCUCCCUCCAACCCACCCUCAUAUCUGGCUUUUGCUAUGGACGUGUGGUGGACUAUGUCAUUUAAUGGUCAAUUUUGACCCCCCCUGGAUCACUUGAGUAUGAUGAAUGUUGGUGGCUUGCUCCUCCAAAUCCAUGCUAUACAAAUCCUUGUUGGUUUCUUUGGACAUUCUCCUUCUAACAGCGGCGGCGGCGGCGUCGAUUCUGUUUUUCUGUUUUGGGCCUAGAAUUGGGCUUUUAUUUUCUUUUAUUGGUUGAGCCCUUGUUUCUCUCUUUUUGACUUUGUAUUGGGUUUUAUGCCAUAGUAGUUAUGAUAUUUAGAACAUACAAUCCCGAUCUCUUGGACUACAGGGGUGCAAGAGUUAUGCCAUUAAUUUCUGUCAUAAUAAUUAUGAUAUUUAGAACAUGCCUCUGUUCCAAAACUGUAAACCAUAAAUAUUUAGAACAUCAACGCAUUCCACAAAUCAUGUCUCCACCUACAAAUCACACUAAACUUCACCCAAAACCGUAAAUAUGCCUCUAUUCCAGGUAUAGCCACCUCAAAACUUGUAAUCGAGGUUCCUAGAAACUUCAUACCUCUAGUCCAGGUAAUUAAACCCAUAAGCCACCUCUAGUCCAGAUAAUGAAAUCCAUAAGUUACCUCUAGUAUAGGUAAAAAUGAAACCUCCACAACAUAUAUAGUCACACCAAAGUAUAUUGAGAUGAAACUCCAUUAACAAAUGCUUUGAAAAACCUAAGAAAAAAUGCUGAAUUUAUCAAGGGUAAAAUUGCCAUAUUUGUUUCAAACUAGCAUGAUUGUAGGAGAUGCCUAAAUUUUAGGGAGGUGCUUUCAUAGACUUCCAUUUCUGGAAGUGGCAUACACUGUUAAUUCAUUAAAAAUUGUGGACAUACAUGGUGGUUGGACUACAAUUGAAAAAGUAGAGCAUGUGGACUGCCCCAUAAUUUUUCCCACUUGAAUUCAUCCCAAUCGUGUCCUACAUCACAUAUUGUGCGUCUCUAUCAACGCUUACAUACUUGCAGAGAUCCAAACCUUGAAAGUUGUCUAAUCUCUCUAGGAACCCCAAACCUCUAGACGGUGACAAACUCUCACUUUGAUUUCAUUUGAGGCUUAGCCCCUACAUAGCCUUUUUUAAGUAGGCUCACAGAGAACCCUAAUUUUGUUAGCUACCUAAAUCCUGAAGAAACUAGGAAAUCAAAAAUACCCAGAACGACCUCAAAACCCCAUGAAGAGAACAGAAAACAAGCAGCACAGUACAGUCCCCAUAAAAAUCACCUUGCCUGAAUGUAUACAAUAUUCCCACACGAAAAAAAACUGUAAACACGGGUUGAAGAACUCCAAAUUUAGAGCUGCUGCACAAGACUAACAUGAAUACUUAGGUCAAAAUUUCAUUAAAUUCUUUAUCUCUAUAGAAGUAGAGUGGCAUUGCCAUAAAGUCCACCAAGGAUAAAAAAAAUAAGUAUCUUAAGCUCUAAUAUUUGACCUAGCAAUAUCAUGGCCUAUGGAGGACUUUGAUUAUGCGAUUUUAACGUGCCAUCUUCCAAUAAAGUAAGAGUUGGGAUACCCUAUGUGUUAAUAUUGUGCUUUAGAUUUAAUCUGUUACCUCAAUUUAAUCAGUACAAGUUCUUAUUCUAUUUGCCUCAAUCGAAAAUUCGAAUUUCUGCGAGUUGGGUUUGUUGCUGUUAAUUAAUUCCCUAAGUUUUUCAAAGGUAUUAAUGACUACGACAAAUUGUAAAUCCAUGUUCUUGUAUGUUCAAGUAAUUCCAUUUCAAAAAAAAUAUUGUAAUCCUUUUUUUUUUUUUUUUUUUUUCCCAUUAUGUUGUUUUUUUGUUUCUUUACGGGGCUGACGUUUAAAAGCUUUUCAUGUAACAGAGACAGAUUAAAUUCUCUAAAUGAUGGUUCCAAUAUUUCUCAUUUUAGCUGGAGAAUGAAAACCACACCAAACUCAGUACGGAACUUGAGGAGAAGAACCGCCAGCUGAGGUACAAAUUUAUUAAAUCAUCAUGAACUUGUAAGAUAUAUGUGGCUGUUUAGCUGGUAUUGUUGUUUGAUGUUUCUGCUGGAAUUGGACUGGCUUGCAACAGGCAGAUGAAAGGUGAGGAUCUUGAAGAGCUGGAUCUGGAUGAGUUGCUGAAGUUGGAACAACUGGUGGAAGCAACCCUUGUCCGUGUGAUGGAAACUAAGGUCUGCCCCUUGUGUAUGCAGAGUAUAUUUUAAUUGCUCUGUGUUGUGAAAAGCAAAUAAACUAACAUCUAAAUGCAAAUUUCAGGAAGAACUGAUUAUGAGUGAUAUUGUGGCACUUGAGAAAAAGGUUAGAUGAUUGAUACGUACUCUGUAAAUGAAAACAAAUUUCAGCAUAAAUAAUCAGCAUAAAUAAUCAUAACAAAGUUUGGCUCUGGUUUUCUCUUGCAUGCACCAACUAUAAUUUCAGGGAACUGAGCUGGUAGAAGCCAACAAUCAGAUGGUGAUGUUAAGGGAGAGGGUAAGCAACAUAUAUAUUGUUCUUAAUAAAAGAUGGGUUGAUCCUUUUUUCUUUUUUUAAAAUAAAUAUUUUGUAUUUUUUGCAUAGCAGAUGGUGAUGUUAUCCAAAAGAAAUACUGGACCUGCGCUUAUGGAGCCAUCUGAAUCUGCUACCUCCACCAGCUGCAACAGUGCUCUCAGUCUCUCUCUUGAAGAUGACUGUUCCGACGACGUCGUUUUAUCUCUCAAACUGGGGUGAGCUAGCUUUCUUUUGCUUUGCUAUUUGUGUAUAUAUAUAUCUUUGCUUUUUAAGUUUGAUGAGAUCAGAGAAUAGAAGUUUUAGAAUUUUGAAUACUCGGUCGGUUGUCGUGCAAUACAGAACAACUAGGAUAUUUUCUGUACUUGUCAACUUGAUUCUGGGUUUCAAUUUUAACUUUACCAAACCAAAAAUAUUGGAUGUUUUCUGUACUUGACAAUAUUUUUUUAUUAUAGAAAUGUUAUUUGAAAGUCAUCAUGAGUUUCAGAUAUUUACAGUAAUAUGUUUUUGGAAAAAAGAUAUAUCAUUUGGGGCUAACCAAAGUGUUUUCACCUCUUUACCACUUACCCUCCCAAGCAUUUUAAUUAUUCAUGGUAUUUUAUUUAUUCUUCACCAUUUUUAAUAAAUUUUCUUUUCACUUUACUAUGAAUUUCAGGCGUCCCUAAUUUCCUUGGUUAAGAAGUGGAGAAAGAUGAAAGUUUACUCUCCUUAUAGCUAAAUAAAGAAAGUUGUGGUAUUGUGAGAUAUCGAUGAUUGUGUGUUUUAAUUUGAUAGCAGAUUGAAAAUAUUGAAGGGAGAGUAACUUUGUGUUGUAUCAAAACAUGUGUAUUACAUGCAACCUGUGACAUAUUGCUCUUUGACUUUGUAUUGUAUUUAGAACUCUGUAUCAAUGCAGCCUGCGUGGAGAGACUUGUUAAUUUUGUAUUGUUUGGGUUAUCAAUGUCACACAGGCUAACGGUACGCGCGGGUCGUAGACCGAUGUGCUUAAAGACUUAGAUGUCUUUCUUCAUUGUUUUCACGUUACAAAGCUCAUUUCAAGAUAUCGUGAAGUUUAGUCCCACGAAUGACAUUAUAGGUAAAAUUGUUUAUUUAUACUAUUACAACUCAUGUACACCAAAACUUAAACCAGACAAAAACAAGUGAAAUAAAUUUUUAAUGUAGGAACCAGAAUGUUUAAGAAGAAACUCAUAUAAUUGUCUGCGUGGAUUAAAUCAACACAAGUGGCCUGGGGAAAGUAACCUGAGCAAGAUAAAGACGAAGCCAUGUGUCAUGGUGGGCUCAAUCAAGUGGCUUGACAGCGCAUGACCUGUGUCAAAGUGCCAUCCUCCACACCCAAAAAAAAAAAAAAAAUUUCUUCUUUCCUUUGUAGCCUGACACGUAAUAAGAAUUUUACCGACAGAAAAAACAAAACUUAGAUAUUUCUGACAAACUCCUUCACAAAAAGUCAGAUGCCACAUUUUCUCAAGUCACAUAUCAACGGUGGAGAUUGCAUUCAUCAACGUCAACAGCAUCUGUGCCCGUCGAUUUGCUCAGGUUUCUUAACCUUGUUUCCCCAGAAGAUAAUAGAAGAAUAUAUUUUUCCAUAUAAAGGAAAAUUCAUAAAUCAUUUCAUUUCCUUUCUUGACCAACAACAAGACAGCAGCAGCAGCAGCCAUUUCUCUCUCUCAUUUCGAACGCAGACCCCGAAACCCACCAACGAAGGUAAACAUUAAACAAAGAGGAAAACCCAGAAUUUAAUUCAUUAGGGUUCUUCUCCUCCUCUUCUUCUUCUUCUUUGUGUUUUGGGUGGUGGGUUUUUCUGGGUUUUGUUCAUUUAGAUCUGGGAACCAUUAAAAGUUUAAAAUUGAGAAGAAACCCAGAAAAUAUUGUAUAGUUUUUGAGUGUAUGUGAAAAGUGGUUGGUUUGAAUUUUUUUGAAGAUGAUGAGGAAUAAGAUCAAGAUCAAGAAGAUUGACUACUUGCCUGCAAGGCAGGUGACCUUCUCAAAAAGGAGAAGAGGGCUCUUCAAGAAAGCUGCAGAGCUAUCUGUUCUGUGUGAAUCUGAGGUGGCAGUUGUCAUCUUUUCUGCUACUGGCAAGCUUUUUGAUUAUUCAAGCUCAAGGUACCAGCAACAUACCUUAUAAUUAUUUUGACUUUUCCUUCCUUGAAAAAAUAACAAUAUGUAUGAUCAUGAUGUCUCUGAAGUCUGAUGACUUCACUUCUCUCUGUGUGGGUGAGAGAGAGAGAGAGGGGGAGGGAGAUUCUGAGAUCCAGUCAUUUGGUUAGAAAUAUAUUUAGAGGAGAGGGAGAGUGCCUUUAUGGAAAUUUCCUGUCCUUCCAGAAAUUCCAUGGUUUGAACUGUGCAAACAGACAUUAUUUAUUGUAUCUAAGCUUCCAACAGAAAAAAUGGAGAAUCCAGAAGCUUCCAGAGAGACUUUUAGAUAGGUUUUUUUUCUGUUGUCGUCGAAAUAUACUUUUAGAUAGUCAUACUCUGUUUCAAAAAAACCUAGUUCGAGGGUCACUACCUUGUAUAUCUAUCCACUUAAGGAAAAUAAAGUCUGCUUUUGACUAAGACAACUUCUGGAAAGAUGUGGUGUGUAUGAUGGUGAUGUUCUUUUCUUGUACUACAUGCAUGCAUAUGUAAAACUGUGUACGUAUAUAUCUUGUUUAGCAAAUUCUGUAAUCUUAAACCCUUAUACACAAGUAUAUCUCGCUGCUUCAAUCUCAUCCUUUCCCACCUAUCACAUGUUGGUAAUAGAUAUUAUAUAAUAUCUUAGGUGGGGCCUAUACAAUGAAGAAUAUCAUUGUCCAAGUCCAAAUUAAAAUUAAUGUUCCCUUGUGAGAGACACGAUAUGUUAGACCAUCAAUCGAAUCAUACACUCAAAUAAUAUAACAGACUUUUUUUAAAUUCAUAGUUUAACCACAUAAAAUGAUAGUGACUAUAGCUAGUGAGUGAGUAUUCGACCCUUUACAAUAUGUAUAUACAUCUAUAUGUAUAUAUGUUAUCCUUCGAACAUUCUUCCCACUUAAAUUAAUGUUCUCUUGUGAGAGACACGAUAUAUUAGACCAUCAAUCGAAUCAUACACUCAAACAAGAAAGCAGAUUAACAAUUCUAGAUUCGUAGUCUGAUCACAGGAAAUGUUAGAUAAUCUAGCUAGUAAGAGAGUAUUUAACUCUUUACCAUAUAUAUACAUAUCUAUAUGUAUCUUAUCCAUCGAAGUUAAGAUAUUUGUGGGUUGUGUUUGAAAAGGACCUAAAAGACAAAAUGCCCGUACAUUAAUGUGGUUGCAAACAUUGAAUUAUAUGUUUGUAAUUUUCUUACUAGGAAUAAAGUGGUAUGAUGAUAACUUGAGAAUUCAUCAUAGAAGCCUUGAAGACUUUCAGCAGGAAUAUGCAUGCAUGCUUUCAACUAGGGCAAUGGGUGGUGGAGCUAUGACCAUAACAUGUUUUUGCCAUGGAAUAAGAAUUAGAUGUGCAUGCAUGAGAGGAAGGAAAGAGAGGGAGGGUGAGAAUGAAAUGUUAACUAUGGAAUAAGAAUUUAAAUAAGGUCACGCAUCCUUUCAUUUAUAUUUUUUAAAAAACACACAAACUAGAAAUACCACCUCCAAAGUGGUCUUCUUUAACCCAAAAAUAUACUCUUAAGGUGGUCUUAUAUGGCGAUACUAUUUGCAAGAGAGUGAAUGUCGUUAAACAUUUUUUUUUUUUUUUUUUUUAAAAAAAAAGCUUUGAUACAAAUGGAGGUGUCAGUUAAAAAUAACAAAUUGGAGACGACAUUUAAUUGUUUAUGUCUGUAUGCAAUUUCUAAUCAGUUUCCUUUAAAAGUUAUUUUUCUAGGUUUCCUAAUUGACAUGUUAUAUGCAAAGUUAUUUUAUAUAUUUUUUUAAAGGUUUUCUAAUUGUAUUUAUAUUCAAGUACCAGAGUACUUGCAACCAAAACAAAAACCGUGAAAUGAAUAUUUUACUAUUACAUUAUUUUUCAAACUUCUCGAAGUUUCCUAGUAGAGCAAUAUUGGUCCGAAUUCUCCAAGUUUGGAAAAGUAUUGCUCUUGGAUAUUAUACUAUAUUUUCAAAGAUUUAUUUAGUAUUGUGUCGAAAUAUUUAUAUAGGAACUCCAAAGUCAUGUGUGUUCAUGAGACUUGCCCAAUAUUAUUAUUAAGUUUUGAGAUGUUUCAUUCAUAUUUGUAUUUUGAAACUCUUAAGGGCUUGUUUAGCGAGGCCAUGUUAUAACAUGUUGGAGUCCUUAGCCACUUACACCAAGUUUUCUUCCCAUUUUAGUCGGUUCACCACUUCAUAGUACAUCUUCUUCCCAUGUCUUAGGUCCACCACUCCCUAUGUUGUCACUUGGUUGUUUAAUGUUUUACAUGAUUCCAAGUUUUCUACUAGAUUUUCAUGUCCUAUUAGCCUAGCUUUGGGGAGUCUAGAUCCCCUUGUUCCAGUGGGAUAAUACUAUUCACUACAAGGGUGACUUUUUAAGAAAGUAACAAUCCUUUAGACCGAUAAGGAUGAUAAAUCAAGCUCAUAAUGUUGGUGCUAUGACUACCUAUGCAAGUACCAAAAAUGGGUCAAUUAAGGAGGUAGAAGUCGUAUGAUGAUUUUAGUCUUUCUAGAUGAUGCGAACAAAAUUCAAGAGCCGUGCGUCCUGUAAAAAGCUAGAUGAAGAUGGCUAAAACACUUGUUCGAGACACUACUUUGGACCUUUAAUAUUUUCUUCAAUUCUGUAAUUUGGUUGAAAAUACUUACAUUGUGGGCGUCUACUUGCAUUAAUGACGCAUCGUGACAAUCGGAUGACUAAAGAUUUAGCUUAAAACACACAACUUUGGAAUCCACCAUGAAGUAGUGAGGAAACCUUAAGUUUAUUGAUAAUCUGAAAUAACAUAACCUAACCCUAGCCACAGGUUAAAAAUUCUUUAAAUACCCUAGAAGCCCUACUAAUAAACAAGGAAUUAAAAUAGGAAAAAUUACAAAGUUUUCAAAAACUUAUAAGACAUAAAAACUGGAUUUUGGGUUGUUAACGAUCUCGGAUGCCUGAAAAAGCUGUUCUCUUCGAAUCAAUGGGUCAUGGGCCCAAACUUGCAGCUUUCUAAGUGUGCCCUUUAGCGCGCCUCUUCAACUCUUCUUCAAUUGCCUUCGACAUCUUUUCUACAUGAAUUAAGUAUGUUCAAAGAAGAGAGUUCUUGUCUAAGAUGUCUUAACCACGUUUUAGUAUUUCGAUCUCUAAGGGCGUAUUGAGGAAUGGAGAUGAUGAUGUCGGGACAUUGUAGAAAGCUGGUGUCGGGAUGAUGGUUGUGGAUUUAUUCACCUAGUAGUGACUUUUGAAAUGUUUUGCGCAAAAUGAGUGGCUUUCUUUACCCGUUUUCUAUUCUGCCUGAUGGCUUGUGAAAAUUUUGGUACAAACACUAACUUAACUAGUAUGUGGUUUAGUAAUCAAGCAAGCAAGAUCUUAGGCAGUAGAAGUUGCCUAAGAUUGGCGAGUUUUGGUUUUCGGAUGAUUGCCAAACCACGACAAGUUGGUUUGUUUAAUGGUUCUUUCUAGCUUGGUAUGAGGUCACUCUGGGGAGCUUGAGUUUUGGUUUAAGAUUUAACAAUCAAUCUAUUAGAAGAUACAUAAGUGUAACAAUCAAUCUAUUAAUAUUCAUAGGCGCGAAAGAUUUUUCCAAUGUAUUGUUUAUCAAUCUUUUCCACCAACAUCGAAUGACCCCAUACAAGGAAAAAUGAAUUCGAAUUCAAGUAAAUCUUUUUUUUUUUUUGUCAAAUGGUGAUAUUUCAUUUCGAAACCUCGUCAAAAAUGGGGAGGGCACAAAAACUACAAAACAAAGCAACCUAGAAAGGAAGCUCACUAAUACAAUGCGUCUGAUCUCUAUUAGAGAUACGAUAUAUAAGUUGGUCUCUAAAGAUAGUCACCCUAGCAUUUUCCAUAUAUAAAUGCCUUGUGUUGUAAACUAUCUCAGUUGCUUGUUGGGUUGGUCUUUUAUAUAUAUAUAGGGACAUUCUCCAAUAAAUAUUCAUUAAAUAUGUUGGUAGUCUCUUAGGGACCGUAUAUAUAUAUAUAUAUAUAUAUAGGUUUUCUAUAAAAUAUCUAUGAAGGAAUUUGAUUUGACGUUUUGAUUUGCAUAACCAAACCAUGCGAUAAAGCCAGCAGCAAAUAGCUUCACGUUCUCAUUAUGCAUAUAAAACAAGUAUUUAUUUCAUUUCAAAAUCUCCAAAAUCAUAGUUGUGAUGUGGUCUUGAAUGAAACCCUUUUCUGAUGCUAUCAAGGAACAGUACUAAUGGUACAAAAAUAUCCAAAUCUGUAACAUAUAUAUUUUUUAAUUUGUGGGGGAAGGGAGGGCUAAAUUAGUUAAUUUGCUUUUCACUGUUGAAUUUACUUUUUUAAUAAAUCAUAGUUAGAUUAUUGCAUGCAUGUCCAAAGUGGUUGGUUAGAUUAUUGCAUGCUAUUUUUUGUAAAAACAUCUAAUGGAAUUAUUCUUUGUACUUGUUUUCUCUUGAGAUGAUUGGGUUAUUCUAUGGUGUAGCCCUUUUUUGGAUCUCCAAUAUAUAACUGGAAAAAUUCUGGGUCUGCAGAAAAUUGGAAAUCCAAUCCUGGGUUUGCUUGUAUUUUGCUUUAUAAUUGAAAAUGAAAUUAUGGGUUUGCAUUAUAAUUGGAAACCAAAUUCCAACACAAAAAGUUCUGAAUUUUUUGCAGUGGGGGGUAAGUUGUAGAUCACUCUGAUUGCUGGUUAUGUUAGUUAGAGACACUUAAGUAUGAAAAUAAUUCAAUUUUUUGGCAAGAUGCCAUCAUGCUUUAUGGCUUAGCGUUGAAGUUAUGCCAGUGAUAAAUUGCAGAUUAUCAAAACCCUGAAUUAGACAUUAGUGUGUGUGUCUUGGUGUUUGCAAACCAGAAGUUUGAAUAAUGGGGUUAAAUUCUUUUCCAUUUUUUUGUUUCUCAUGUAUGUUUUGUCACAUGUUAGUUCUUCAAUGUCUUAACAAUUUACUAGUGAACAUGCCGAUUGAUUUUUAUUUUUUUUCGUUUUUUGUUAUGAAGUACCAAGGAUGUUAUUGAAAGGUACAACGCAGACAUAAAUGGUGUCGAAAAAUUGAACAAUCAAGAGAUUGAGCUGCAGGUAAAUGAGUUCAAUGGUUACCUUUUCCGUUUCCCCCUUUUAAAUUGUUCUGCAAUUAAUGGUAACAUACUAUGUAAUCUGCACUUUGGAGCUUCAAAAUAUCUCUCUAUGUAGCAUCUGAAGGUUCUGAUUGUUUGAACAUAAAUAAAAACAUUAUUUCCUGUUACAUGCCAGACUUAUGUACAUAUGCAUGCAGCAGGGGUCGGCCUCUUGGGCUAAAUAUAUGUAGUUAGGUGGCUUUGAUAAGUCCAUUUCUAGUGGGACUUAUGAAUUUGGUCUACAGAUGGAAGGAAAUAGUAGUCUUGGGCCAAGUCCUGGUGUUGUUUUGAGAAUUAGCCAAUGAAAUAGAUUCAUCAGCAACUAUCAAUCAAUCAUAUUUUUUUUCAGCAAAAAAUACCCUGAACGAUCGCAAAACCCACAAAAAUAAAUAAUAAUAAUAAUAAUUUCCCUUGUUGCCCCAGCACCAGAAGACUCUAAACACAAAAAUUUGGAGCAGCUUAGCACAAGAAUAACAUGAAUACUUGGGUCAAAAUUUCAUUAAACUCCUUAUCUCUAUAGAAUUUGAGUAAUCAGGAAAGAAACUCUGUUUUGGUGCUAGAGUAGUGGUUGGUUGGGGAGUAAAAAUGUUGAAGUUUUUGCCCUAACAAUAUGGAUGAGUGGUAUCCUGCCAUCUUCCAAUAAAGUAAGAUUCCCCUACGUGUUAAUAUUGUGCUUUAGAUUUAAUCUGUCAUCUCAAUUUAAUCUGUCAUCUGUUCUUUUUCCAUUUGCCUUUAUCUAAGUUGGGUUUGUUGCUAUUAAUGAAAUCCCUAAGUUUUUCUAAGGUAUUAAUGACUAGGACAAAUUGUAAAUCCAUGUUCUUGUAUGUCCAAGUAAUCAUUUGAUUCCAUUUUCAAAAAUAUAUUGUAAUCCUUUUUGUUUUUUUUUCCCCUUAUAUUUUUCGAUGCUGACGUUUAUAAGCUUUUCAUUUGACAGAGACAGAUUAAAUUAUGUAAUGGUUCCCAUAUUUAUCAUUUUAGCUGGAGAAUGAAAACCACAUCAAACUGAGUAAGGAACUCGAGGAGAAGAGCCGCCAGCUGAGGUACAAAAUUCAUGAUCUUGUAAGAUAUAUGUGGCUGUUUAGCUGGUAUUGUUGUUUGAUGUAUCUGCUGAAAUUGGACGGGCUUGCAACAGGCAGAUGAAAGGUGAGGAUCUUGAAGGGCUGAAUCUGGAUGAGUUGUUGAAGUUGGAACAACUGGUGGAAGCAAGCCUUGGCCGUGUCAUGGAAACUAAGGUCUGCCCUAGCUAUUUUAUUUUCUAGUAACCAGUGCCCUAGCUUCUUCUUUUUCUUUUUCUUUUUUUUUCUUUUCUGGAUGAUUCUUGACUGAAGACAUAAGCAAUGAACCGUUAGAAUAAUAUAAAGUAGGUCUUUGUUUGAAGAAGUAUCGUCUCAGUAAAUAGGGUAUAUUUUUAUUGCUGUAUUUUGUGAAAAGCAUAGGUGUAUUCUGAGUUGUCACUAAGCUUUAUUUUCUGAAAACUAACAUCUAAAUGCUGUUCCUUUCUUUUCCAGGAAGAGCUGAUUAAGAGUGAGAUUAUGGCACUUGAAAGAAAGGUUAGAUGAUUGAUACGUACAGAUCUGUAAAUGGAAACAAACGUAAAAUAAUCACGACUUAAAAACAUAUAUAAAUUAACAUCAAUAAUCAUAACCAAGUUUGGCUUUGGUUCUCUCUUUCAUUCACUGACUAUAAUUUCAGGGAACUGAGCUAGUUGAAGCUAACAACCAGCUAAGGCAGACGGUAAGCAACUACCACAAUCAUGUACAUACUUCUUCUUACUUUUUCUUCUCCUCUUUUUGUUUUUUGAGAGGAAGAGUGCUCUUAAUAAAAGAUUAUGGGUUGAUCUUUUUUUCUCUUGUAAUUUUUUGCAUAGCAGAUGGUGAUGUUAUCCGGAGGAAAUACUGGACCUGCGCUUAUGGAUCCGGAGAGGUUGAAUAAUAAUAUUGAAGGUGGAGGAGAAGAAGAAGGCAUGUCAGCUGAAUCUGCUAUCUCCACCACCUGCAACAGUGCUGUCAGUCUCUCUCUUGAAGAUGACUCCUCCGAUGAGGUCACUUUGUCUCUCAAACUGGGGUGAGCUACUUUUGCUAUUUGCUAUUUAUAUGCUUUUAAGUUUCAUCUGAGAAGACAUGCUUGAUCAUUGCUUUAUUUGAUGGUACGCGGGCGUCGUGCAAUAAGAGGGAGGAGGAUAUUUCCCUUCCCUUGUGUUGUGAGGGUUUUGCUUAGAUUUAUUUCUGUACUUGUCAACUUUAUCUUGGGUUUCAUUUUUUAACUCUACCAAACCAAAAUAUUUGGAUUUUUAGAAAAGAAAAACUAUGAAUUGCUUAUCCCGCCGACAUUUUUUUUAAAUAUAGAAGUAUUGACAAUUCUCAGAAGUCAUCAUGAAUUUCAGAUAAAUUGUACAAAAACAAUUGCGCGAUGAUUUAUUUCCCAGCAACUUCAAUAUUUUCAGUAAUACAGUAUAAGUGCUCAUUUGGGCCUAACUGUUUUCACCUAUUUACUACACCGGAGCUUCUACAAUGAGGAGUUUAGAGUGAGGAGCUUAUUUGAGGGGUUUAAUCCCACUAUCAAACUAUUUAAAAUGUUUAAGUUCAUUGAUUUUCUCCCAUUUGUUGAUGGUGGGAUUGAACUCUUCAAAUAAGUUCCUCACUCUAAACACUUCAUUAGAGCCUUUCCGUCUACAUACUAACCCUCCCAAUUCGAUUGAAGAUGUUUUAGGGGUUUGUAGAUCAAGUUUCUUUUGAGGUUUCAUUUUUAUGUAUUUGGGCCAUUUCAUUUUUUGAGUUUAUUUAAAUUGAAAGAAGUAAGUGACUUUCACUGAAAUUUCACAUUUUUUUAAAUUAUAUUUUGUUAUAGAAAAUAAUAGAUGGCUUAUGUGAAUUAACGUCAUCGUUAUUGCAUAGUAUGGCAAUCUAAAUAAAAUUAAUUUAAACAUUUUUUUGUAUGAAAAUAAAAAUAAUUAACUUUCCCGCAUUGUUUUAUGAAAAUUACAGAAAGCUUCAGUUGAAGAAUCCCAACACUGAAAGGGGCUGAAAAUGUAGGGGAGAAUUUAUUCCACACCCACUAUGACAGCGUAACCUGCAUAAUACAAGUUAAAACAUCCCCACAAACAAAUGUUGGUGCACAGUUGCAUUCAUGGAAUUUUAUUUAUUCUUCACAUUUUAAAUAAAUUUACUAAUCAUUUUGUACGUAUUUUCUCUGAAUUUCAGGCGUUAAGAAGUGAAGAAAGAUGAAAGUUUACUCUCCUUAUAACUAAAUAAAUAAAGUUGAGGUAUUGUAAGAUAUCAGUAAUUGUGUGUCUUAACUCGACAUAACAUUGAAAAAUAUCAAAGGGAGGGUGACUGUGUGUUGUAUCUAAACCUAUGCGUUACAUGCAAGCUUGAAAUUGCUCUGACUUUGUAUUGUAUUUAAAACUCUGUAUUAAUGCAGCUUGCAUGGUGAGUUAUGUUGAUUUUGAAUUUGCUUGGGUUAUCAUUGUCACAGCGAGACACGUACUGUUUGCGUGGAUUAAAUGGAUAAAAGUGAACUGGGGGGAAGGAACCUGAGCAAGAUAUAGACAGCCACGUGUCGCAUGGUGGGCCCAAUCAAGUGACAUGACAGCGAAUGACCUGUCUCCAUCCGACUCCACAUAAAAAUAAAAUUUAUUCAUUUUUUUGUAACCCUACACGUAGUAAGAAUUAAACCGACAACAAACUAAACUUAAGAUACUUCUGAACGAAAAAACAUAACUUAGAUAUGGACAAAAUCGAUCACAAAAAGUAAGAUGCUACAUUUUGUGCUGACGCAUUACAAGAUCAACGGUGGAGAUUGCAUGCAUCAACGGCAAGGUGCAUCUGUCCCCGUCGAUUUGCUCAGGUUUCUUACAUUGUUUUCCCAGAAGAGACCGAAAGUAAAGCAGAGGAUAAUAGAAAUAGAUGUUUUCCAUAAAAAGGAAAAUUUCCUUUCUUGAACAACCAGCCACCACCAGCAGCCGCCCUUUAUCUCUCUAGUUCUCUUAGUUUUUCUGGACAGACCAAAACUUCAGACCGGGCUGAAACCCCGACAAAGGUAAACAUUAAAAACAGAGAGGAAAACCCAGAGAUUAAUUAAAUUAAUUAGGCUUCUUCUUCUUCUUCUUCUUCCUCUUCUUCUUUUUGUUGUGAACUUGUGACCUAUUUUGGUUGGUUUCUUCUUCUUCUUCUUUUUGUUGUGAACUUGUGACCUAUUUUGGUUGGUGGGUUUUUUCUGGGUUUUGUUCAUUUAGAUCUGGGGACCAUUAAAAGGUUAAAUUUUGAGAAGGAACCCAGAAAAUAUUGUGUAGUUUUUGAGUGUAUGAAGAUAAUAAUAUAUGUGAAAAGUGGUUGGUUUGAAUUUUUUUGAAGGGAAACGGUGAAAAUGAUGAGGGAGAAGAUCAAGAUCAAGAAGAUUGACUACCUGCCAGCAAGGCAGGUGACCUUCUCAAAGAGAAGAAGAGGGCUCUUCAAGAAAGCUGCAGAGCUAUCUGUUCUGUGUGAAUCUGAGGUGGCUGUCAUCAUCUUCUCUGCUACUGACAAGCUCUUUGAUUAUUCAAGCUCAAGGUACCAGCACCCACCACUAAAUACCUUAUAAUUCUUUUGACUCUUUCCUUC